rnacentral:rRNA from 1 species
UACAGAGGGUGCGAGCGUUGUUCGGAAUUAUUGGGCGUAAAGAGCUCGUAGGCGGUCUGUCGCGUCGGAUGUGAAAACUCGGGGCUCAACCCCGAGCCUGCAUUCGAUACGGGCAGACUAGAGUUCGGUAGGGGAGACUGGAAUUCCUGGUGCAGCGGUGAAAUGCGCAGAUAUCAGGAGGAACACCGGUGGCGAAGGCGGGUCUCUGGGCCGAUACUGACGCUGAGGAGCGAAAGCGUGGGGAGCGAACAGG